rnacentral:rRNA from 1 species
AUUGAACGCUGGCGGCAGGCUUAACACAUGCAAGUCGAGGGGUAGCAAGAUUGUAGCAAUACAAUUGUUGACGACCGGCAAACGGGUGCGGAACACGUACACAGCCUUCCUACAAGUGGGGAAUAGCCCAGAGAAAUUUGGAUUAAUACCCCGUAACAUAGCGAUGUGGCAUCACAUUGCUAUUAUAGCUUCGGCGCUUGUUGAUGGGUGUGCGGCUGAUUAGAUAGUUGGCGGGGUAACGGCCCACCAAGUCUACGAUCAGUAGCUGAUGUGAGAGCCUAAUCAGACAUACGGGAACUGAGAAACGGGCCCGACUCCUACGGGAUGCAGCAGUAAGGAAUAUUGGACAAUGGACGCAAGUCUGAUCCAGCCAUGCCGCGUGAAGGAUUAAGGUCCUCUGGAUUUUAAACUUCUUUUAUAAGUGACGAAAAAAGGUCUUUCUAGAUCGUCUGACGGUACCUUAUGAAUAAGCACCGGCUAACUCCGUGCCAGCAGCCGCGGUAAGAC